CAGACGUGCGCAGCUUCGGCUAAUGCAGGCUAGCAUCGGUUUUGCGAGUCGGAUAAAGGUAAGGGGAAGGUGGCAGCUCUGGCUGUGUUAUAGCCCCUUACUGAAUACGAAUUGCGAGACCGAGGGAUGCAGCGCGCCGCAAGGCAAAGGGUUCGCCCUUUUCGCGCUUAGGAUGCUGGUGAAAUGGCUUUAAACGACCCGUCUUGAAACACGGACCAAGGAGUCUAACAUAUAUGCGAGUGUU
rnacentral:rRNA from 1 species